UACGUAGGGUGCAAGCGUUGUCCGGAAUUCUUGGGCGUAAAGAGCUCAUAGGCGGUCUGUCGCGUCUGCUGUGAAAACUCGGGGCUUAACCCCGGGCCUGCAGUGGGUACGGGCAGACUAGAGUGCGGUAGGGGAGACUGGAAUUCCUGGUGUAGCGGUGAAAUGCGUAGAUAUCUGGAGGAACACCGGUGGCGAAGGCGGCAUCCUGGACCACGACUGACGCUGAGGAGCGAAAGCCAGGGGAGCAAACGGG
rnacentral:rRNA from 1 species